rnacentral:rRNA from 1 species
AUUGAACGCUGGCGGCAUGCUUUACACAUGCAAGUCGAACGGUAACAGGCCGCAAGGUGCUGACGAGUGGCGAACGGGUGAGUAAUGCAUCGGAACGUGCCCAGUCGUGGGGGAUAACGCAGCGAAAGCUGCGCUAAUACCGCAUACGAUCUAGGGAUGAAAGCGGGGGACCGUAAGGCCUCGAGCUAUUGUAGCGGCCGAUAUCAGAUUAGGUAGUUGGUGAGGUAAAGGCUCACCAAGCCGACGAUCUGUAGCUGGUCUGAGAGGACGACCAGCCACACUGGGACUGAGACACGGCCCAGACUCCUACGGGAGGCAGCAGUGGGGAAUUUUGGACAAUGGGCGCAAGCCUGAUCCAGCAAUGCCGCGUGCAGGAUGAAGGCCUUCGGGUUGUAAACUGCUUUUGUACGGAGCGAAAAGGCUUCCACUAAUACUGGGGGCUCAUGACGGUACCGUAAGAAUAAGCACCGGCUAACUACGUGCCAGCCGCCGCCGUAAUAC